rnacentral:lncRNA from 1 species
AAGUUUUCGUUGGUCAGCCGGGUGAUCUCGUGCUGCAGGCUGGCCUCAAUGCGGGCCUCUGGGGGCAGCUGCAGGUUCUGGGCCAGCAGCUGCUGCUGUCGGUUGUUCUCCUCCUUCAGGCUCUGGAUCUCCCCACGGAGGGCCUCGGCCUCAUUCUCAUGGCUCCUCUUCUGUGACUGCAGCUGGGAUUCCAGGAGCUAUUUGUUUCUUUCAAACCAAUGUAUGCUUGUGCUAUUUCACCUUUAUCUUUCAUUUUUUGUACAUCUUCCAAAAGUAUUGUGGAAUCAGUUUAAUUGUGUGCUUGCGCUUACCUUGGGUUGGAUGGCCUCUUUCUGGCUCACCAGUUGAGACCUUAAGAUGAGGACUUCCUCCUUGCGGACAUCAAGCUCCUCGCUCACAGAGGUCAGCUGCUCCAUGAGGACACGGUAGGCAGGUGCACCUGGGGCGGUCACCUCUGGGGCACUUUUCUCACUGAGGGCCUUGCGCAACUCAUUUAGCUCAUUCUUCAGUUUUUUGUUUUCUGAUUCUAGUUCUUGACG